rnacentral:rRNA from 1 species
UGGCCGCGGGAUUUGACUAAGCCAUGCGAGUCGAGAGGGUUCGGCCCUCGGCGUACUGCUCAGUAACACGUGGAUAACCUGCCCUAGGGAAGGGGAUAAUCCCGGGAAACUGGGGAUAAUACCCUAUAGAUUACAGAUGUUGGAAUGCUCUGUAAUCGAAAGUUCCGGCGCCCUAGGAUGGAUCUGCGGCCGAUUAGGUUGUUGUUGGGGUAAUGGCCCAACAAGCCAGUAAUCGGUACGGGUUGUGGGAGCAAGAGCCCGGAGUUGGAUUCUGAGACACGAAUCCAGGCCCUACGGGGCGCAGCAGGCGCGAAAACUUUACAAUGCGGGCAACCGUGAUAAGGGAACCUCGAGUGCCUGUAAAUGCAGGCUGUUUAGGUGCAUAAAACACACUUUGAGAAAGGGCCGGGCAAGACCGGUGCCAGCCGCCGCGGUAAUACCGGCGGCUCGAGUGGUGGCCACUUUUAUUGGGCUUAAAGCGUUCGUAGCUGGGUUGUUAAGUCUCUUGGGAAAUCUGGCGGCUUAACCGUCAGGCGUCUAAGGGAUACUGGCAAUCUUGGAACCGGGAGAGGUGAGGGGUACUUCGGGGGUAGGAGUGAAAUCCUGUAAUCCUCGAGGGACCACCUGUGGCGAAGGCGCCUCACCAGAACGGCUUCGACAGUGAGGGACGAAAGCUGGGGGAGCAAACCGGAUUAGAUACCCGGGUAGUCCCAGCCGUAAACUAUGCGCGUUAGGUGUAUCGGUGACCACGAGUUACCGAGGUGCCGAAGGGAAACCGUGAAACGUGCCGCCUGGGAAGUACGGUCGCAAGACUGAAACUCAAAGGAAUUGGCGGGGGAGCAAAUCACUAGUGCGGCCGCCU